AGGGGCGUAGCAAAAUGGUUAUGCAACGGUCUCCAACACCGUCUACUACGGUUCGAUCCCGUACGCCCCUG
rnacentral:tRNA from 1 species